UGAGUCCGUGGGUGGAAUCUA
rnacentral:piRNA from 1 species